UACCUCUUAGUUUGUUGAUUUCUUAAAAAUCCUUUACAUUCUUCCACUGGUUAGCUUUUCCUUUUUAUUUUUCACUGAUUAGCUUGUAAAUCUUUCUGUGUAGGUUGUCACUUGUGGAAGCAUUCCUCUUGAAUCUUCUUUCCAGAGGAUACCAAGAUGUGUAUUUGUUUCCACAGAAUUGUAUGAAUACAGGGGAUGCGGUGGAAAACCAGCAAAACCCAGACAUGCUUUCUUCUCCUGGGGAUGCAGGCAUUCAGAGAAGAAUGUGGCAGAUUUCUAUAUAUCAGACUUUCAGACUGGUUUGAGAGCUCUAGUGAAAGCAGGCUAUGGAGCUAAGGUUGCUCCAUUUGUUAAGCCAACUACAGUUGUCAAUGUGUCAAAGGAUAACAAAGAGCUAUCCCCAAACUUUCUACGCUGGCUUGCUGAUCGAAGUCUAUCAAGUGAUGACCGUACAAUGCUCCUGAAAGAAGGGACUUCAUUUUGGCAAGAAGCUAGGAAACCACAACUAUAGCUUUUCCACACUCGAAAGUCAUAAAAUUUCAGAUUUCAGUGUCAUGCAUGGUAUGAACUGAAAUCGUGAAAUUUUGAAUUGUUUACCUAUAGAAAAGCAGUACCUAAAGUGUUCGAGAAUUGGAAUUGCUAUAUACUUGUUUCUUUACCUUCUUGAAAAUAUCAA